UACGUAGGGGGCAAGCGUUGUCCGGAAUCAUUGGGCGUAAAGCGCGUGUAGGCGGUUCAGUAAGUCUGCUGUGAAAGUCCAGGGCUCAACCCUGGGAUGCCGGUGGAUACUGCUGGGCUAGAGUACGGAAGAGGCGAGUGGAAUUCCCGGUGUAGCGGUGAAAUGCGUAGAGAUCGGGAGGAAUACCAGUGGCGAAGGCGGCCUUCUGGACUGACACUGACGCUGAGGCGCGAAAGCCAGGGGAGCAAACGGG
rnacentral:rRNA from 1 species